rnacentral:lncRNA from 1 species
AGUUACAGAAAGAACCCACUGCAGGGCGUCCAGUCACUUGCCCAGUGAAAAGACUGUAAUCAGACAACUUUAAUAAAGGGAGAGCAGGAGAGUGGUGACGAAUUUCCACAUUCCGAACAAGCUUGUCGAAAGAGGAGUGCAGGGAAGGAGCAAGAAUGAGGCACUGGAAGACGGCUGUAGGCGCAUGAUGUCACAAGUUAUUGGAAGAAAUCCCUCCAACCUAGGUUGGGACAGAUGAAGGCGGCGCUUAUUGGUGUUCACCAAAACACCAGCAUGGUGUACCAGCUUUGGCUAGAUGAUGCUCAGGUAACGAACAACCCCUGCAACUCAGUGGCUUAAAGGUCCAUUUCUCAAGCGAAUUACUGUGGCUGCAGGGAGCUUUGGCAGUACUCCACCAGUUUUCUUCACUCCAGGCUGAAAGGUCAACUUUUCUGGGCCAUGCUCCCUGCUGGGCUGGUAAACCAACUUUGAGGGAGAAGGGGGAAGUCCAGAUAUGUAGUGUUUGCUAUUUCUAUGAUGUAAAUGCUCCCACAAUGGCCGAUUUCAAGCUACAAACAGUCCAACAAGUGGCUUGCCAAGUUCCUGGAAAUUUAACAAUUAGCU